UACGUAGGGUGCAAGCGUUAUCCGGAAUUAUUGGGCGUAAAGAGCUCGUAGGCGGUUUGUCGCGCCUGCUGUGAAAACUGGAGGCUCAACCUCCAGCCUGCAGUGGGUACGGGCAGACUAGAGUGCGGUAGGGGAGACUGGAAUUCCUGGUGUAGCGGUGAAAUGCGCAGAUAUCAGGAGGAACACCGGUGGCGAAGGCGGGUCUCUGGGCCGUAACUGACGCUGAGGAGCGAAAGCAUGGGGAGCGAACAGG
rnacentral:rRNA from 1 species